rnacentral:tRNA from 1 species
GGCACGGUACGCAAAGCAGGCAAAGCGGCGAAGUUCAAACCUUUGUGACUUUGUGGGUUCGACUCCCACCCGUGCUACUA